UCGUAUUUGAUCAUCAUUUACGGUUUUAUAAUCUCCUUAAUUAUGAUUUUGAUCUCAAAACAAAAGGUUGAUGUAAAAAUUGGCCUUAGGACCGGGAUAUCCAUCGCAAUAAACACUCUUAAGUAUGUUUUGGUGAUAUAGAAACACAGAAAUUAUUAGUUUCUACAUUUUUAACGUCGUUGGUAUUUUUUUUUUUUUAUAUAGUUCGGGAGUGAUCCAAAGGUUUUUUAAGCUCAAAGACUA
rnacentral:lncRNA from 1 species